GACGAACGCUGGCGGCGUGCUUAACACAUGCAAGUCGAACGGAAAGGCCCUGCUUUUGUGGGGUGCUCGAGUGGCGAACGGGUGAGUAACACGUGAGUAACCUGCCCUUGACUUUGGGAUAACUUCAGGAAACUGGGGCUAAUACCGGAUAGGAGCUCCUGCUGCAUGGUGGGGGUUGGAAAGUUUCGGCGGUUGGGGAUGGACUCGCGGCUUAUCAGCUUGUUGGUGGGGUAGUGGCUUACCAAGGCUUUGACGGGUAGCCGGCCUGAGAGGGUGACCGGCCACAUUGGGACUGAGAUACGGCCCAGACUCCUACGGGAGGCAGCAGUGGGGAAUAUUGCACAAUGGGCGGAAGCCUGAUGCAGCAACGCCGCGUGCGGGAUGACGGCCUUCGGGUUGUAAACCGCUUUCGCCUGUGACGAAGCGUGAGUGACGGUAAUGGGUAAAGAAGCACCGGCUAACUACGUGCCAGCAGCCGCGGUGAUACGUAGGGUGCGAGCGUUGUCCGGAUUUAUUGGGCGUAAAGGGCUCGUAGGUGGUUGAUCGCGUCGGAAGUGUAAUCUUGGGGCUUAACCCUGAGCGUGCUUUCGAUACGGGUUGACUUGAGGAAGGUAGGGGAGAAUGGAAUUCCUGGUGGAGCGGUGGAAUGCGCAGAUAUCAGGAGGAACACCAGUGGCGAAGGCGGUUCUCUGGGCCUUUCCUGACGCUGAGGAGCGAAAGCGUGGGGAGCGAACAGGCUUAGAUACCCUGGUAGUCCACGCUGUAAACGGUGGGUACUAGGUGUGGGGUCCAUUCCACGGGUUCCGUGCCGUAGCUAACGCUUUAAGUACCCCGCCUGGGGAGUACGGCCGCAAGGCUAAAACUCAAAGGAAUUGACGGGGCCCCGCACAAGCGGCGGAGCAUGCGGAUUAAUUCGAUGCAACGCGUAGAACCUUACCUGGGUUUGACAUGGAUCGGGAGUGCUCAGAGAUGGGUGUGCCUCUUUUGGGGUCGGUUCACAGGUGGUGCAUGCCUGUCGUCAGCUCGUGUCGUGAGAUGUUGGGUUAAGUCCCGCAACGAGCGCAACCCCUGUUCACUGUUGCCAGCACGUUAUGGUGGGGACUCAGUGGAGACCGCCGGGGUCAACUCGGAGGAAGGUGGGGAUGACGUCAAGUCCUCAUGCCCCUUAUGUCCAGGGCUUCACGCAUGCUACAAUGGCUGGUACAGAGAGUGGCGAGCCUGUGAGGGUGAGCGAAUCUCGGAAAGCCGGUCUCAGUUCGGAUUGGGGUCUGCAACUCGACCUCAUGAAGUCGGAGUCGCUAGUAAUCGCAGAUCAGCAACGCUGCGGUGAAUACGUUCCCGGG
rnacentral:rRNA from 1 species